rnacentral:lncRNA from 1 species
AUGUCCCCAGCUCCCUCCCACUCGUGGAUGGUCACCAUUGGUUUAGCUUCCUGCCAUGUCUCCACUCUUCCUACCUUCUUCAGUGUGGCCUCUUCUCUGCCUUCAGUAGUGGAAUUUGUCCUGCUCAGUCUUCAGGUCACUUUCUGGGUUAUUUACACGGAUGCGAGUGUUACCUGUUGUAUCCAUGGAGCAAGAUGUUUCCCUUUUAGCACAUUGAAUAGAACGUGUCACUCCAUUCUAGUCUGCAACAUUUCUGCUACAGAAUCAUCUGAUAUCCUUCUGGCACUUCUUGGUAAGUAACUAGUGGCUUUCCUCUUGCUUUUUUAAAGAUCUCCCCCAACUUUUUUUUUUUUUUUUUUUUUUUGUGCUUUAACCGUUUUAAUUAUUAUGUGUCUUUGUGUUCAUCUUGUUGAGUUUCCUGGCCCUGAAUAUGUUUCAUUCCACAGUUUAAGGACUUUUUUUUUUUUAAGUACAAUUUAUGCCUGUUUUCCUCUUUUGCAGGGAGCUAACAAUGAAUAUUACUAUGCUUGAUACAUUGUGUGUCCCUUAACCUAUUCUUUUUUUCUGUUAUUCAGCUUGAUACUUUCCCUUACCUGUCCUCCUCCAUCCUCUAGUCUGUCCAUUCAUUAUAUCCUACAGCUCUGAUUGAUCAGGGUUUUUAAAUUUUCUCUUUAGUAAAUUUCUGAGAUCAUCCACCCUUUCUUGAGUCCUAUGAGCAUCUUUUUUUUUUUUUACCAUAUUUUGAAUUCUUCAUCAGAUCGAUUAUCUUAUUUUUGUUUACCCCUUUCUUUGUGGCUUUUAUCUUGCUUUUUUAGGUGAAGUCAGCUACAUCUCCUGGUCUUGAAAGCAGCAGCUUUCAAAGUAGAAGGUGUCCUGCGGGGCCAGUAGUGUAAUACUUUUUGGGCACCAGGGGUGACUCCUGGACAGGUUGGACUGGCCCCCCAGAGGUGCUAUCAGCUUGCCCAUAAGUAGGGUUGGUGCCCAGCAUAGCUGGCUGAGAGUCUUGGCCGUAGCUGCUCUCCCUGAGAGCGGGCUGAGCGGCCUUGCCACGACUGCUGGGGACACGCUGUAGGCAGAUGUGGCUCCCCUCUCCCACCCCUAAGGUAGACAGAAGGUGUCUGAACUGGUCCCUGCAAGGCUGGGGUGAGAAAAAUGCUCCCCCCAUUACUCCCAAAGAAAGGGCCUACAGAUUUCUGCCCCUCUAGCACAUACUCCCUAAAAUCAGUGAAUCUCCUUCAUGUAUAACCCAGAUAUGUUUCAAACUGCUGCUGCUUGGACCAUGUGGUAUAGUGUCUGUCCUUUAGGAAAGGAGGCUUUAUUUCCUAGAGCUCCUUCAGGCUCUCCCAGUGUUACGCUCUAAUGAUUUUCAAAGCCAGACACUAUGGGCGCUCCGUGUUUCAGUGAACGCGCCCACGGCUGUGGGCACCCAGUGUGGGGCUGGAGUCCCUUGCUCCUCAGGGAAUGACUCCACACCCGUAACGUGGGUCACCCCGCGGGGAGUGUCAUUCACAAUAUUCUUGUCAACGUGACUUUCUCCUCCUGUUUUCAGUGGCGGAGAUGUCUUCUGCCAGUCACAACUUAUUUUCAGAGUGAGCUGCAUUAUAUGUAGUUGUUUUGCUUCAGAGUAUCCACGGGAGGAAGUGAGCUCAAGAUCCUCCAUUUCUACUAUUUUCCAGACUGUACACAUUUUUUGAGAAGGCCAAAACACUUGUGGGCAAGUAGACUGAAGCCACAGGACAUCCCUCAGAGAAUACAUAUGAAUCAUUGAUUUGGGAGCAUUUACUCUUCCUUUACUGAUACACCUCAAAUCCCGUCAUAAUUAAGUUGGGUUGGGGUGCCUGGGUGACUCAGUGGGUUAAGCCUCUACCUUCGGCUCAGGUCAUGAUCCCAGGGGCCUGGGAUCGAGUCCCGCAUAGGGCUCUCUGCUCAGCAGGGAGCCUGCUUCUCCUCAUCUCUCUCUCUGUCUGUCUCUCUGCCUAUUUGUGAUCUCUCUCUGUGUCAAUUAAAUAAAUAAAAUCUUUAAAAAAAAAAAAAGUUGGGUUCAUGCUGCCUCAGUGUAUCUUUCACCGAUGUCUAAUAGUCUUUCACUCCCCAGGAAGAGAGGGGAAGGCAGUGACGUGGGAAGAUUCUGAACCCCUUCUUCCUCCAGCGGACACCAGGCUGCGGCUGCACCUAGUUCAACUCACUCUCAGAACAACCUGAGGACUGGCAGAACAGCUUUACCACAAGGACCAAGAAAAAGCAACAUCGAGAAAGGUAGGAUGGGCAGGGAUGCCGUCAGGAAUGGAACCUACAGUGACCCACCCGCAGGAGAGAGCUCACAGGUACUCUGCAAGGAAUGAGGGGUUUCAGACCUUCCUUGAGCACUCUCAGUCAUUGGGAUCUGCAAUGGAUAGAUGAGCCCAUAACAUCUGUGACAUCUGGCUUUGAAAAGCAGCAGAGCUUAACUUCAGUAAGAGCAGAGGGCUACAGGAAAGAUUAUACUCUUAAAAGAGCCCACGUGCAAUAUUACUCUGAGACCACAGAGGCAGCAGUUUGAAAAGUGCCUGUGCUACCUGUAGGAUGUUUAUAAACUAAUUGUAAGACUUGUGCUAGAGGGACAGGGAUCUGUAGGAACUUGCUCCAGGAGCAGAAAUGCCGGCAGCUACCACUUUUCCUGAAACGGGUGGGUGCCAUUCUGCAUCUGCCUUGCUAGCACCAUUCACCCUGCGCAAGUCUGCCCUGUGGACUUACCGUGGUCGGUGCUCCUGCAAAUGGCCACACGUGAUGGUCAACCCGGUCCAGACCCAGCACCCCUCCAACGCAAGUCUUGCCCCAGUGAGGGAAGGAGAUGAGCCUGCAAGUCGUAGCCAACCUAAGACAUAGAAACAAGCAGAGAGUCAGACAAAAAUAGAGUAGAAGGUAUCGACAGUAGCUCAGAAAAUAUAGAACAGGUCUGGAAGAAACCUCAAGGAUAACAUGAUUCACAAUACAGGAGUUUCAGAAACCGAAACCUUAACAAAGAAAUAAUCAGUGAAAACUUCCCUAUGUUGGGGAAUGAAACAAACACCGAGUUCCAGGAUCCACAGAGAGCCCUCAAAGUGAACCCAAAAAAGGUCCACAGCAGGACACAUACUAAUGACGAUGAAAAUUAAAUAGAACAAAAAUUACUUACCUACAAGGAAAUCCACAUAAGGCUAUAAGCUGAUUCGUGAGCCGAAACUUUGGUAGACACAAAGUUUUGUAGGAAAAAAGCCUGCAACCAAGUACACUCUAAACCAGCAAGGUUAUCAUUCCAAAUUGAAGGAGAGAUAAAUAGGUUCCCAGGGGAACAAAAGGUAAGAGUCUAAAACCACUUAAACAACCUUCUAAGAAACUUCUUUGAAGGGAAGAGAAAAAGCUAUAGGAAGGGAAAAAUUACAAGGCUAUAAGCAAACAUAUAGGAAAGGCAGAUCAAAAAUGUACAAAGCUAAUAAAAUAUUAAGGUACUAAUAUCAAUUUUAUAUAUAAUUAGUUGUCCUAUACAUGGAAGAGGGAUUAAAAAUGUAGUUCUUUUGGAAUGUGUUUAAACGUAAACAAUAAUCACCUUUAUAUAGACUGCUAUAUAUAUAUUAUAUAAACAUAGUAGCCACAAAUCAAAAACCUAUAAAAAAGGAAUCCAUGCAUGACAAGAAAGGAAAAGAAUGACCAAACAACUAGAAUAAAAUUAACAGUAUAGAGUGUUUAUUACAUUUAAUUAUUAUAAGUAUGUGCUUUUUGCCAAUCAGAAGACCUAGGGAGACUGAAUUAAAAAGAAAAAAGACCCACCUAUAUGCAGUCUGUAAGAGAUCCACUUCAGACCUCAAGACAGUGAAAUAAAUAUAACUGAAAAUAAAGGAAGCGAUGGAAAAAAGAGCCAGCAUCGCUAUACUUGUAUCAGAUGUAACAGACUUUAAAAGACAAUAGCAUUAUACAAUAAUAAAGGGAUGGCUCAAACAAGAGGAUAUAUAACAAUUAUAAAUACCUAUGCACUUAACAGACAUAAAGGGAGAAGCUCUCAUACACUACUAGUAGGGAACUUCAACAGCCCAGUCCCAUCAAGUAGUGACUUUGAAAGACACAUUAGACCAGAUGAACUUAAGGUGAUAUACAAAGAACAGUCCAUCCACAAAAGCAAUGCACACAUUCUUUUCAAGUGCACAUAAAACACUCUGCAGGGUAGAUCACACUUAGGAGCACAAGUAGAUUGAAAUUAUACCAAACAUUUUUUCCAAACACGACGGUAUGAAACUAGAAAGCGCACCAACAUGUGGAGGCUAUACUACACAACCAGUGGGCUGAUGGAGAAAACAAAAAGUAAAUUUAAAAGCACCAGGACACAAAUAGAACUAGAAAUACUAUGGUCAGACAUCUUUGGGACACAACAAAAGCAGUUCCUAGAGGGACGUUUAUGGCAAUAGAGGCCUACAUCAAAAACAAGAAAAAUAUCUAACCUAACACUUAAAAACAAAACCCAAGAUUAAUAAAAGGAAAUAAUAAAUAUCAAAGUAGAAACAAAUUAAAAACAGACUUAACCAUAGAAAAGAUAAAUAGCUGGUUAUUUGAAAAACCUGAUAAAUCUAUCAGACAUAUCACGAAAAAGCCUAAAUGAAAGACAAAAAAUAACAGCACAAAAAUAAGGGACUACUAUGAAAAAAAUUAUAUGCCAUAAGUUGGGCAGCCUAUAAGAUUUCUCUCCGGAAAUCCUGGAAAUACACUCUUCCAAAAUGGAAUACUGAUUACUAGGGAUGAAAUUGAGCUGGUAAUCAAAAAUUCUCCCAACAAGCAAAAAUCCAGAACCAGAUGUAUUCACAGAAAAAUUCUACCAAACAUUUAAAAAACAGUUGAAAAUAGAACUGCCCUAUGACCCAGCAAUUGCACUACUGGCUAUUUACCCUAAAGAUACAAACAUAGUGAUCUGAAGGGGCACGUGCACCCGAAUGUUUAUAGCAGCAAUGUCCACAAUAGCCAAACUAUG